UGGAGCAGAAGCGCGACUGACGGUACUCACUUUCGGGUGAGAGCUGAGGAAACUCCCGACUGCUUGUCGAUGCCAGUCCUGCUACAGCAGGGAGGCGAGAGUCUCGCUCUGGGAACAGAAACGACACCUCCAAGCUGGAUAUGACGAUGAUACAGAGAUUCAAUCUGUUGAGAAUCAGUUUGGACCGGUUGAAACGGCCCAUCACUGGGCAGCAAUUCCAAGCGUACACCUGCGACGUGUCGACCUGAGGUGUAGGGUAGGAAGCAUAGUUUGAUGUCGCAAGACUUCAGAACGGUAACGGUCUGAGGUGGAACAGAAUUGGGGUUACUCUCUGGACCA
rfam:Thorarchaeota archaeon SMTZ-45 WORSMTZ_55389, whole genome shotgun sequence.